rfam:Bdellovibrionales bacterium RIFOXYB2_FTLL_36_6 rifoxyb2_full_scaffold_15486, whole genome shotgun sequence.
GCCUCGGUGGCGAAAUGGUAGACGCAGCGGAUUCAAAAUCCGCCGGUAGCAAUACUGUGGGGGUUCAAGUCCCUUCCGAGGCA